rnacentral:rRNA from 1 species
CUACGGGACGCUCCAGUGGGGAAUAUUGCACAAUGGAGGAAACUCUGAUGCAGCAACGCCGCGUGGAGGAUGACACUUUUCGGAGCGUAAACUCCUUUUAUAUAGGAAGAAGAUGACGGUACUAUAUGAAUAAGCGCCGGCUAACUCGCGUGCCAGCAGCCGCGGUAAUACGGAGGGCGCAAGCGUUACUCGGAAUCACUGGGCGUAAAGAGCGUGUAGGCGGAUUAAAAAGUCAGAAGCGAAAUCCUAUAGCUUAACUAUAGAACUGCUUCUGAAACUCUUAAUCUAGAAUAUGGGAGAGGUAGAUGGAAUUUCUGGUGUAGGGGGAAAAUCCGUAGAGAUCAGAAGGAAUACCGAUUGCGAAGGCGAUCUAUUAGAACAUUAUUGACGCUGAGACGCGAAAGCGUGGGGAGCAAACAGGAUUAGAUACCCCAGUAGUC